ACAUUAAACAUCCUGUAAAAAAUAUUUACAUAGUGGCGCCCAACACCGAGGCGAUAAGGCAGUGUGCCAAAGAGAAUGGCUGUACAUUUAUUGAUGAACAAAGCGUUUGCA
rnacentral:misc_RNA from 1 species